CCCCGCUUCCAAGAGCUUCCUGCAUUCAAGGCUGCAGGUGAUAGCCACAGAGACCAAGAGCACAAAGAAGUCUUCGUUUCUCCUACAGAAAAGGAAGUCAGAAAGAUUCAAAGCAUGAAGGGGAGUCGAUAUUCUCACAGGCUUUAAGGUGGAGGCACUACCUGAGAAGGAAUGCAUGGCCGCCUCCAGCAGCAGAGAGGUGCCCUACCAGGAGACCUGGAAAUCACAAAAACUGAAUUCAACCAACAAUCUGACUUCAUUUGGAAGUGGACUGUUUCCAACAGCUUCCAGGUGUUCUCUUGUCUAAGACCUGAUUCCUACUUCCCACCCCCUACAUUCUGGGCAAGUGGGGAUUGGAAGUAUGUUCCCAUCACUUCCCAGAGGAGCGUUUGAUACAACAUUUAUCAUUCUAUUAAAAUUCAUUGGUCUGGCCCU